GCUCAGUUGGUUAAACGUCUGACUCUUGAUUUCAGCUCAGGUCAUGAUCUCAGGGUUGUAGGAUUGAGCCCUAUAUUGAGCA
rnacentral:tRNA from 1 species